rnacentral:rRNA from 1 species
GCAUAUCAAUAAGCGGAGGAAAAAGAAACCAACAGGGAUUGCCCUAGUAACGGCGAGUGAAGCGGCAACAGCUCAAAUUUGAAAUCUGGCCCUCGGGUCCGAGUUGUAAUUUGUAGAGGAUGUUUUUGGUGAGGUACCUUCCGAGUUCCCUGGAACGGGACGCCAUAGAGGGUGAGAGCCCCGUCUGGUUGGAUACCGAUCCUCUGUAAAACUCCUUCAACGAGUCGAGUAGUUUGGGAAUGCUGCUCUAAAUGGGAGGUAUAUGUCUUCUAAAGCUAAAUAUUGGCCAGAGACCGAUAGCGCACAAGUAGAGUGAUCGAAAGAUGAAAAGCACUUUGAAAAGAGAGUUAAAAAGUACGUGAAAUUGUUGAAAGGGAAGCGCUUAUGACCAGACUUGGACUUGGUUGAUCAUCCUGGGUUCUCCCUGGUGCACUCUUCCAGUUCAGGCCAGCAUCAGUUCAUCGCGGGGGAUAAAGGCUUCGGGAAUGUGGCUCCCUCGGGAGUGUUAUAGCCCGUUGUGUAAUACCCUGCUUUGGACUGAGGUUCGCGCAUCUGCAAGGAUGCUGGCGUAAUGGUCAUCAGCGACCCGUCUUGAAACACGGACCAAGGAGUCGUCUUCGUAUGCGAGUGUUCGGGUGUUAAACCCCUACGCGUAAUGAAAGUGAACGCAGGUGAGAGCUUCGGCGCAUCAUCGACCGAUCCUGAUGUUCUCGGAUGGAUUUGAGUAAGAGCAUACGGGGCCGGACCCGAAAGAAGGUGAACUAUGCUUGUAUAGGGUGAAGCCAGAGGAAACUCUGGUGGAGGCUCGCAGCGGUUCUGACGUGCAAAUCGAUCGUCAAAUAUGAGCAUGGGGGCGAAAGACUAAUCGAACCUUCUAGUAGCUGGGUUCCGCCGAA